rnacentral:lncRNA from 1 species
AAUUCUAUAAUCAAUUCAUCAUAACCAUAUUAAACUCUAAGUCUAACAAAUUAUUCUACUCAGACAUAAUCAAGCAAGACAUAAAGAUAAACAUGAUGAAUUGCAUAAUGAGAUUAGAGAUAAAAAAACCGGAGUUCCAAUACAAUACUCUGAAGGAGUUCUUGGAUCUUCUCUCCAAACUUUAAAAAGAUUCUAAGAAGGGUUGACUGCCUAAAACCACCCGUAGACAUAUACACCCUACUUAUUUCCCCCAAACUAUCAAGCUCUUAACGAAUCCCCCCAAACUUAUAAUUCCUCUUUAGAUCUCCCUCA